CAGGGGCUGGGGGCCCAUACGCCAUGGAGCCCGACUCCCUCCUGGACCAAGACGACUCCUUCGGACCUGCUGCUGGUUGCGCCACUCGAGGUCAUCUGUGCAUGUGUUUAACCUCCGCACCCCUCACUGUUUUCUAAGCUCCCUGGCAGCUGUUAUCCCCAGGGCGUAGCUCUCUGCCUGGCCUGUAAGCUGCUUGGAAAGUCCAGCCCGGAGAAGCACCUCCUUCCUGUGUGCCUGCGAUUGCGAGGAAGGGGACAAAUGGAUCCCCCAUCACUGACCUGACUCCCACUCAAGACUAUGAGAUCCUAGAGGGCAGGGGCUCUGUCUUAUUUGCUGCCGUAUCUCCAGGUCCUGCCAGCCUCUGGCCCUGAGAAGAGACUCAAUACACAUUCACUGGAUGAAUGAAUGAGUGAAUGAGUGCAUGGCGAGUGGCACCAGCCAGAUCCUGCCCUUAACUUGCCCUGAGCCCUCGGGGAAACUUCUCCCCUCUGGGCUUCUAUUUCCUUAGCUGUCCGCUGAGGCCACUGCACUCCACACGCCCGAAUGUUCCAGCUCUGGCCAUCUAAGAUUCUAAAUCCGACUCAGCACUUGGCACCCUUUUCCCUCUCUGCGGCCUGAGCCUCAUCCCGGUUCCCUCUGCCAUCCAGCGGCCUGGACCACAUCCCCACUCCUCGCUCAGACUCAGCUUCUUUGUCCAAUAAAUGGGCAGACUCA